AUUGAACGCUGGCGGCAGGCUUAACACAUGCAAGUCGAGCGGAGAUGAGGUGCUUGCACCUUAUCUUAGCGGCGGACGGGUGAGUAAUGCUUAGGAAUCUGCCUAUUAGUGGGGGACAACAUUCCGAAAGGAAUGCUAAUACCGCAUACGUCCUACGGGAGAAAGCAGGGGAUCUUCGGACCUUGCGCUCAUAGAUGAGCCUAAGUCGGAUUAGCUAGUUGGGGGGGUAAAGGCCUACCAAGGCGACGAUCCGUAGCGUGUCUGAGAGGAUGAUGCGCCACACUGGGACUGAGACACGGGCCAGACUCCUACGGGAGGCAGCAGUGGGGAAUAUUGGACAAUGGGGGGAACCCUGAUCCAGCCAUGCCGGGUGUGUGAAGAAGGCCUUAUGGUUGUAAAGCACUUUAAGCGAGGAGGAGGCUACUGAGACUAAUACUCUUGGAUAGUGGACGUUACUCGCAGAAUAAGCACCGGCUAACUCUGUGCCAGCCGCCGCGGUAA
rnacentral:rRNA from 1 species